rnacentral:lncRNA from 1 species
UUACUAUGAUGCACCUAAAACAGAUGGUAUUUUGAACUUGGGGACAUUAGAGGCAACAAAAGAAAUUUCUUGAGCACAUUGAAGAACGAGAGAAGCCCUUGAAUUCUUCUCCCAUGAAGAGAAUGAACAGCGAUGACUAAGCAUGAGCUCUGAGAGGGAACAGCCAGGGACAAUGGGAAGAAACAGCACAUGAUUCCUCACAAAGGCUAAAAUUCACA